rnacentral:rRNA from 1 species
CCUACGGGAGGCUGCAGUGGGGAAUUUUGGACAAUGGGGGCAACCCUGAUCCAGCCAUGCCGCGUGCGGGAAGAAGGCCUUCGGGUUGUAAACCGCUUUCGGCCGGAACGAAAUCGCCGGGGAGAACAUCCCCGGUGGAUGACGGUACCGGAAGAAGAAGCACCGGCUAACUACGUGCCAGCAGCCGCGGUAAUACGUAGGGUGCGUACGGUAAUCGGAAUUACUGCAGGUAAUUCGUUAAGACACGGUUGAAAUCCCCGGGCUUAACCUGGGAACUGCGUUUGUGACUGGCGGGCUGGAGUGCGGAAGAGGGAGGUGGAAUUCCACGUGUAGCAGUGAAAUGCGUAGAGAUGUGGAGGAACACCGAUGGCGAAGGCAGCCUCCUGGUCUAGCACUGACGCUCAUGCACGAAAGCGUGGGGAGCAAACAGGAUUAGAUACCCGAGUAGUC